rnacentral:rRNA from 1 species
UACAAGGAUUCCCCUAGUAACGGCGAGUGAAGCGGGAUGAGCUCACCAUGUGAAUCUGCGCAACCAGCAAUGGUGCGCCGAAUUGUGGUCUGAAGAAGUAUUGUCGGCCGCGAGUCCGGGUUAACUGUAUUGGAAAAUACGGCCUGUGAGGGUGAAAGCCCCGUUCAUGCCUGGACUUGUUGCGCUUUGGCACAUGCUUUCUACGAGUCGAGUUGCUUGGGAUUGCAGCUCAAAUUUGGUGGUAAAUUCCAUCUAAAGCUAAAUAUUGGUGUGACACCGAUAGUGUACAAGUACCGUGAGGGAAAGAUGCAAAGAACUUUGAAAAGAGAGUUAAAGAGUACCUGAAAUUGUUAAAAGGGAAGCGAAGGAAUCCAGUGUAAAGCGAAGCCAUUCUUCUCAAGCCACUUGUGGUUUGGGCGCUGUGGUUAGCUGUACUAAUUCUGGGCUUGACCUGGGGCAUACGUUCUUCGAGUAGACGACUCUUCGGAGUGAGUGCUCGUUUUUCAUAUCCUGGGUCGGGCUGAGGUCAGUCACUCUGUGCUCGUGAUGAAUUAGGAAAUGGAUUUCUUUACCCCGUCUUGAAACACGGACCAAGGAGUCUAACAUAUGUGCAAGUACGUCAGUGGCAAACUGAUAUGCGUAAUGAAAGUAACAGUGGUAGGAACCUUCGGGUGCACUAUCCGCCGGCCAUAAUCCUUCGGGAGAAAGGUCUGAGUGUGAGCAUACAUGUUGGGACCCGAAAGAUGGUGAACUAUGCCUGAGUAGGGCGAAGCCAGGG